rnacentral:rRNA from 1 species
UGGGAAUUUUGGACAAUGGACGCAAGUCUGAUCCAGCCAUGCCGCGUGCGGGAAGAAGGCCUUCGGGUUGUAAACCGCUUUUGUCAGGGAAGAAACGAGUUUCUCUAAUACAGAGACUUAAUGACGGUACCUGAAGAAUAAGCACCGGCUAACUACGUGCCAGCAGCCGCGGUAAUACGUAGGGUGCAAGCGUUAACCGGAAUUACUGGGCGUAAAGCGUGCGCAGGCGGUUAUGCAAGACAGAGGUGAAAUCCCCGGGCUCAACCUGGGAACUGCCUUUGUGACUGCAUAGCUAGAGUACGGUAGAGGGGGAUGGAAUUCCGCGUGUAGCAGUGAAAUGCGUAGAUAUGCGGAGGAACACCGAUGGCGAAGGCAAUCCCCUGGACCUGUACUGACGCUCAUGCACGAAAGCGUGGGGAGCAAACA